rnacentral:lncRNA from 1 species
CUUGGCUGGCUGUAGCAGCAGCAGAGGAGCCUGCAAACUGUUGGUGGUUCUUGGGAGAUGGUUUGAAAACUGCUGACCCUGCAGCCCACGCGGGAAUCCUGUUGUAGGGUAGAGGAAUGCGCUUUUCUGUUACAUCUCAUGGCCGUUUUCUUCACUGUCACUGAACUAUUUAUCUGCUCUUUUAAGGAAACUCACCUCAGUUCCAAUCUGCCAGUAUGGCUGGAAUUGCAGUUCCAAUUGUUAUUGUCAUCGUCGUCGUUGUCGUCAUUGCUCUGUGCUACGUGCACCGGCAAAAACACAAAAAAGCCUUGCAGAAGUACACUCCAGGACCUGCUGGUGACGAAGAGGCUGAUGCAGAAAAAAACACGGUUUACGCCCAAGUCGGUAAUUUGCCACUGCCUUACAGUAGAACAGGGACUCCGAAAGGGGGGCUGGAGACCAAGGAGGACGAGACAAAAACGAUCUAUGCCACGGUCCAGAACCCAAACCAGACAAAGACCACCAAGUCCACAGAUGCUGAUGAAUCUGCAGCCACUCCAAAACCCCAAAGGACGACAGAAUAUGACAAGAUCAUCUAAUAGCUUGUCAAGGCAACACAAACAUGUGGCGAGAAACAAGGGAUAAUUCAGUACCCCAGCAUCAGACACCCAAACAGCAGAGGAUCAAUGCAUAUGAUUUGUACAGCACCUUGCACAAUAGGGUCCCAGUCCCUGACUGGGCUCCCAUCUGCUACUGCAAUUGUAAUGUAGACAGACCCUGGUCCUUGGCGGGCAGGCUGUCAGCACAAACUCUUCCUACACAAGGAGCUGAUUUGUGCAACUGCUCAACAAAGAGGUGUUUUCCCCAGAUAUGCACUAUG